AUGUAUGAAAGGGCGGGACCGCCCCAUAGGGACCCCACCCAUAGGGACGGGCUGCAUUGCGCAUGUCUGCAAGGGCGUGGCAAGGGGAGGAAUGAGCGGGAAGGGGCGGGGCUGAGUGGACUGGCGGGACGAGAAAAGGGGCGGGGCGUGCCCAAUCCGGGCCGAGGAGCGUUACCAUGGCAACCGUGCCGCGGAGGCCUUGAGAGGCCACACGCCCUAUGUUGGUCUGCGAGAAAUCAAACUUCGAACAGGACAAGCCCGAAGCCCGCUUCUCCGGGAGACGGGGUGCCACAACUGCAAGGGUCUUUCUACAGCAUCGCGCCUCCUCCAGCCCCUGGAGCCGCCAGCUUUCUUAAGUGGCUAUGGGAACUAGCCUGAGGUCCCAGACGCUGUCCACUGUGCUGCUGCCCUCCGCUAUCUCCAAGCAGAGCGCAAGUUCAGCUGCCUUUGAAAGACACCUACCGCCUGGCCUGGGGAUGCACAAGUUCAGAGCUUUGCAGGGAGAGACCAUGGGCUGGGGCUUCGCGCAAUUGUCACCCUCACCAGUGCCUUUUUUGCAGAUGUGGACGUGGAGGCAUGAGGGAGGGUAAUUAUUUGGUUACCAAGGUGCUGCUAAGAGCAGAGGAGAAAACCCCAAUUCCCAGCCAUGUGUCUGGUGUGACAUUUCACCAACCCAUUUAAGUGAGCAGGCCCCCAAAUACCUACCUAAAAUUUUUGAUGGUUUAGGCAUUUUACACUUAAAAUCACUGGCCUCAUGUCGACUGAAGCCUAACUGGCCACUGUCUCAAACACACAGAUGAUGACCUGAUCCCUCAGGAAUAGAUUUGUGGGAGUAACUUUCAACGUAUGGAGCACUUGUGUGGGGGAGUCUUUCAUACCUGUCAGGUUUCACAUCUCUGCUUUGCGUGAAAAGCUCAUCAUCCACAGCAGUCAGGGAUGUGCCCUUACUUGCUGGGGCUGAUCUGUUGAAAUUUAUGUCUAAACAGUGGAAACACCCAGGAGCAUUUCUGCUUUCAUAUAGCCCCUUAAUAAUUGACGCCCUAAAGUCCUGUGUCUUCAGGGACAGUUCCUUUGAUUCCUGCAUGGUACCAGCUUUCAUGCUGUUAAAUCUAAUCUGUAAAAAAUCUGAGUGUUAAUCUCCAUGAAAAUAAGAUCUUGUUCUUUCUCAUUUAAAUGCCCUUCUUUUUUUUCUCUUUUCUAAUGUUCUGAGUAGGAUUUCCAGUACUGUGUUGAAAGAAGUAGUGAGAGUGGGCAUCUUUAUCUUAAAAUAAAUCUUAGAAAAAAAGAUUCCAACAUUUCACCAUUUUCUAUAGUGUUAGCUAUGGGCUUGUCCUAUAGUUAAUAAAGAAUGUAUUUCUUUAUCAUGAGGUAUAUUCUUUCUGUAUACCUAAUUCCUUAUACAUUUUAUUAGAAAUGGAUUUUAAAUUUUGUCAAAAUAAUUUUAGGCAUGCAUAAAAAUGUCAUGAUUUUUAAUCUUUUUAUUGUAUAAAUAAAGUGUAUGGCAUUUAUUAAUUUCCACAUACUAAAAAUAUUCUUACAUCCCAGGAAUAAAUCCAACUUGAUCAUAAUACAUGAUGCUUUUAAAGUGCUUUUGAAUUUCAUUUGCGUCUUUGUGGAUGAUUUUGCAUCUAUGUUCAUUGGGGAUAUUGGCCUUUAAUUUUUUUCUUUUAAUGUCCGUCUCUGGCUUUGGUAUCAGGGUAAUGCUGGCUUCAUAAAAUGAGUUUGGCAGUAUUCCUUUUUCUUCAAUUUUUUCAAAGAGUUGAUUCUUUUUAAAUGUUUGGUAAAAUUCAGCAGCAAUCAGAUCUAAACUUCUUACUCAUUACUGAUCUAUUCAUACUUUCUAUUUUUAAUGGUUCAGUCUUGGUAGGUUGUACAUGUCUAGAAAUUUAUUCAUGUCUUCUACUUUAUCCAAUUUGUUGGGAUAUAAUUGUACAUAGGAGUGUAUGUACAUAGUAGUCUUAUAACCUUUUGUAUUUCUGUUUUACCAGUUGUGUUGUCUUCCCUUUUAUUCUGAUUUUAUUUAUUUGAGCAUUUUUUUCUUAGUCUAGCUAAAGAUAUGUCAGUUUUGUGAUUCCAAAAAUCUCUUACAUUUUUUCUACAUUUUCUGUUGUUUUUCUAGUCUCCAUUAUAUUUAUUUCUGCUCUAAUUUUUUUUAUUAUUAAUUUCAUCACCUGGUAACUUUGGGAUAAUUUCUUUCUCUUCUAGUUUCUUGAGUUAUAUCAUUAUUUGUUUUUUUGUGAUCUGUCUUCUCUUCAGAUGAAGGUGUAUACUGCCACUCAAUCUCACUGGGAUUGGCACCCAUAUGCACUAUGGUCAUUUUGCUUGAGUCCAUCAAACUUCUGAUCCUAAGAUUGCACCUCUGGCAUACUGGUAAGCAGCAGUGCUAAAAGCCCACACGAUGAGUAGGGGUUUUACAGUGAGAGAAUUACCCACAUGUUUUGGGAGGGACUAAUAUCAAAUGCUCUUUUUCCUUUUUAUUACUCAUCAGUGCCUAAACCAUAAGUCACAAGGAAGGUGCACCUCAUCAUGAGAAUGCAUGUGACAGCAGCAAAGGAAGCAGCAGCUCAGAAAAGACAAGGCCACUGUUCUUGCUUGCAUGACAGUAGCACUUGUUAGGGCAACUGAGUGACAUGCAUAAUUCUCUCCAAAGUAAAAGUCCCUUUUGUUUCUGCAGUUUUACAAAAGACCAUCCCUGGGCCUACCCUGAGAGUGUGGAAUAAUAAAUAAUGUUCAGAUGACUACCCACACAUUUAGUAAUGAUAACCAGAUCAGAUGAAGUGACCACAGGUUUAUAGCCAGACUCUUGGUAAUCAGGACUGAACUGCAGACUGAUUAAGGUGCUGUGUUUUCACUGCCUUGACAGGCAAGUGUCUUGCAAACUGCCUGCCAAACACAGGCUAAACAUGAUGACCCAUCAUGCUGGAGCACAGUCAAUUGACCAUUUAUGUCUAGGUGAUGAGUGUGCUUUAGUGUGGGUAGGGAAGGCAACUCAUGAUAAAGGCCACAAACUUCUAUUUAGACCAAAGCAAAAGCCCAGCAACAACUGGUGGUUCUGACUGAGGUGACUUUUAAUGUAUCGUGAAACCAGUAGGCCAAAAGCAGUUAAAGUUGAGCAGAUGUCCUCAGUCAUGGGUGGUUAAUCCAGUUAGUGUGGUGAAUUGUUUGAUUAGCCUCUCCUUUACCCCAUUGGCGAGGGAGAAAUGACCACUCUAGGGCUACUGGAACAAUUAAAACCAUGGCAUCAAUCAUUGGACAGAUGAGACUGACAGCAGUUAUUCAUUACAUAUAAUCAUGGAAGGAGGAAAGUAUGUAAGGUAAACACAUCCAUACAGGGAUUGCACUUGGGAGCAGAGAGAAGAAACAGGAGGUGUCGGGAAAGGCUUUGUAGUAUCAAGAGGGUGAGAUGCUCCUGGUUUCUACAGGAUGUUGUUAUUGAUUGGUCUGAAUAAUUCUGUGAUCUUGGGGGAAACUGAAACACAUUGUACCACCAACUGCUAAGACUGCAGUAACAUAUUCUAAUAGUGUAAUGCUGUAAUGUAUUAUUUACUAUAAUACUAAUUACAGUAUGUUCUCACUUUGUUGAUAGAUUCUUGGAAACUGUGACUUUUUAUUACUAUAUAAAUGAAACCAAACUUACCAUUGGCUAAUGAUAUAAACAAGAGUUACUUUCCUAUGAUAUAUAGUUUUUUAUUUCACUUAAAAUCAGUUUCCAAAAACCUAUCAAUGACAUUAAGUGAGCACUUACUGAACUUCUGUUUUAGUGAUGUGUAAUAGAAAGUAGCUAUAUAAAAUAUACUAUUCAUGCACAAAACUGUACUUUGUGCUACACAUUACAGUCAUGAAACACAAAACAAUGUUCUAGAAAUGGACUGACCAUAUAUAUUACGUUGUUUUGUUGUAAGUAGGUAAAUGUAAACCUACCUUUAAAGGCCAAAAGAGUUGAGAGGUUGAAGAAAGAGGCUGACAAAUCAAGUUUCUUAGGAGGAAAUAUUUAAGAGGGACUUAUGAAUAGAAGCUAUGUAUCAGAUGGAUGAAGAUGGUGGAUCCCCGCACUGUUACCAACCCUCCCCCCAAAACCCAGACACUUAUCCCAGGAAAGGGAUGUGAAGGACAAUUGAAAUCACUAUAUGAAUUUGCCUAAGGUUUGGAUUUAUUCUAAGUACUUGUUCACAAUAAAUUCAAGGUUGUUUUGACUUAAGAGUAGAGCUUACAGAAACAGUAGGUUUCAAUAUAUAACAAAGGUACUUGAACCCCCCGCCACAAAAAACAUUAGAAGUACCUGUGUUAUAAUUUUAAUUUUUUUCAGUAAUUUAAAAUCUUAAAAUCUUGUUAUGUUAAAUUAAGUAAUCUUAAGUUUCUCACUAAAAAUUAACAUUGCUAAGCAUUAAAAUAAUAGUUUUAAGGGCCAGGCGCAGUGGCUCACGCCUGUAAUCCCAGCACUUUGGGAGGCCGAGGCAGGGGAUCAUGAGAUCAGGAGAUGGAGACCAUCCUGGCCAGCACGGUGAAACCCCGUCUCUACUAAAAAAUACAAAAAAUUAGGUGGGUGUGGUGGCAGGCGCCUGUAGUCCCAGCUACUCAGGAGGCUGAGGCAGGAGAAUGGCAUGAACCCGGGUGGCAGAGCUUGCAGUGAGCCAAGAUCGCGCCACUGCAUUCCAGCCUGGGCGACAGAGCGAGACUCUGUCUCAAAAAAAAAAAAGUUUUAAGAAAGUUUUUACCCCAGCACCAGUGAUUGGAUAAUAGAGCUCCAGGCCCCACCUCUUUGGGGUGAAAAGUUCCAAGCUGCAGCCCUUUUCAGGCAGGCCUUCCUCCUUAUUCUGAAGCCUGGCCCUCACUGUAGGACAUUUGCAUUUAACCUUG
ensembl:lincRNA